rnacentral:rRNA from 1 species
UUGAGAGUAGCUUGCUACUGAGAUGAGAGCAGCGCACUGGUGAGUAACACGUGGGAACGUACCUUUAUGGGGGACAACAUUUGGAAACGGAUGCUAAUACCGCAUAAGCCCUGAGGGGGAAAGGAGCAAUUCGCUAAAAGAUCGGCCCGCGGAAGAUUAGGUAGUAGGUGGGGCAACGGCCUACCUAGCCGACGAUCUAUAGCUGGUCUGAGAGGACGAUCAGCCACAUUGGAACUGAGACACGGUCCAGACUCCUACGGGAGGCAGCAGUGAGGAAUAUUGGGCAAUGGAGGGAACUCUGACCCAGCCAAUGCCGCGUGAGUGAAGAAGGUUUUCGGAUUGUAAAGCUCUUUCAGAUGGGAAGAUGAUGACGGUACCAUCAGAAGAAGCACCGGCUAACUUCGUGCCAGCCGCCGC